GACGAACGCUGGCGGCGUGCUUAACACAUGCAAGUCGAACGGUGAACGAGGGAGCUUGCUCCCUCCGGAUCAGUGGCGAACGGGUGAGUAACACGUGAGCAAUCUGCCCCGAACUCUGGGAUAAGCGUUGGAAACGACGUCUAAUACCGGAUACGACGCGGGAGGGCAUCCUCUCCGCGUGGAAAGAACUUCGGUUCGGGCUGAGCUCGCGGCCUAUCAGCUUGUUGGUGAGGUAACGGCUCACCAAGGCGACGACGGGUAGCCGGCCUGAGAGGGUGACCGGCCACACUGGGACUGAGACACGGCCCAGACUCCUACGGGAGGCAGCAGUGGGGAAUAUUGCACAAUGGGCGCAAGCCUGAUGCAGCAACGCCGCGUGAGGGACGACGGCCUUCGGGUUGUAAACCUCUUUUAGCAGGGAAGAAGCCAAAGUGACGGUACCUGCAGAAAAAGCACCGGCUAACUACGUG
rnacentral:rRNA from 1 species